AACGACCUGGGGCAGCCUCUGGGUGAAUAGCAGCGUGACCGCCGGCAGAGAACCGAGACCAGCGAGCCGACCAUGAGGCUGCACCGACUUCGCGCGCGGCUGAGCGCGGUGGCCUGUGGGCUCCUGCUGCUUCUAGUCUACGGCCAGGGCCAGGACUCUACCAGUCCCAUCCGGACCACACACACGGGGCAGGUGGUGGGGAGUCUUGUCCAUGUCAAGGGCGCCGAUGCCGAGGUCCAUACCUUCCUGGGAAUUCCCUUUGCCAAGCCACCUCUAGGUCCGCUGCGAUUUGCACCCCCUGAGCCCCCUGAAUCUUGGAGUGGUGUGAGGGAUGGAACCACCCAUCCGGCUGUGUAAGCUCUCCCAGGGGUCCAGGGAAUUCCAGGCCCUGGGGCACGGGUUGGGGUGCUCUGAGCUCAGCUAGGCUGCAGUUGUCAUUUCAUCUAAACCCCCAUAGCCAGUUUUCCUUCUGAGUUUCGUGGAUUCCCACGUGCAUUUUU
rnacentral:sRNA from 1 species